GGGUCGAUGGCGUAGUUGGUUAUCGCAUCUGUCUAACAUUCCAGGGGAGUGCACAGAAGGUCCUCAGUUCGAACCUGGGUCGACUCA